GACAGAGGUGGCAAGCGUUGUUCGGAUUCAUUGGGUGUAAAGGGCAGGUAGGUGGUCGGGUAAGUCCGGCGUGAAAUCCCAUGGCUCAACCGUGGAACUGCGUUGGAAACUGCCUGACUUGAGUAUCGGAGAGGUGUAGGGAAUUCUCGGUGUAAGGGUGAAAUCUGUAGAUAUCGAGAGGAACACCAGUGGCGAAGGCGCUACACUGGCCGAUUACUGACGCUGAGCUGCGAAAGCAAGGGGAGCAAACAGG
rnacentral:rRNA from 1 species